rnacentral:lncRNA from 12 species
UAACACAGACUUUUUGAAGCAUAGGCUUUUUGAAAAAGAUCAGUUUUUAGUUAUCUAAAAUCCUGUUUACAUGUGAAUAACAUCUCUUAUAGAUGGCGACUGAGAGACACAUGAGAGAUUACUGGGGUGUUUUUUUUUUCUUUUUUUCAGGAUAAACUUAUGCAAUUGUCCCUUACUGCCAUUUAGAAGAAACUGAUUUUUAAAAAGAGUGAUUUUUCUUUCCUGUGGAGGAGCUCUCAUUACUCACUCUAUAUUGCAGAUUCUCAGCUAAUACUGGAGUUUCAGAGACCCAUCAGAGAGAGAGCCAGUGCACUGCUGCCCCAGAGACUCCCUCAGGCUUAUAGAUCAUUUCUUCCUUGUUUUAGGAACGACUCUGACAAUAACCUCCUGAUUCCCAUCAGCCCCGUGUCCGGCAGCAUUCCAUCACUCUUCGACGAUAUCGAUCUAGCCGUCUCUCUCGUCUGCCUCAUCAAUGCACACGUAUGACUGAGGACGACUGUGGGCUGACGUGCUGCAGCAUACGGACAAAAUGCAUUUCACCUCUGAUUCCAGCACACUUGGCUUUUCUGUCUGUUUUUUUCAAGACCUUCACAAGACAUUAAUUGAUGGACCAGAGUGGUGUGGAUUAUUGUGAUGUUUUGAUCAGCUGUAAGGACUCUCAUUCUGAUGGCACCCAUUCACUGCAGAGCAUCCAUUGAGCUCUGGAUGAAGCACUGCAUCAGUGAGGAAGAGGCUGCUCAUAAUUUCACGCUGAGCUUGUGUCAGAGUGUUUUGUCCUGUCAAGUGGAGCGGGUCUCCCAUCAGCCAGUGGGCAGCGCCAGCAGCUGGCCAACCCAUGGCAGAAAAGUCAGAUAAAAGGUUCAAAAUGAAGCACAUUCUGUAUGGAAUUUUAUACAACAGGAGAUCCC